AGUGAACGCUGGCGGUAGGCCUAACACAUGCAAGUCGAACGGCAGCACGGUAAGGGCUGGCUAUGAGGGGUGGAGGGGGGCGGACGGGAGCGGAAUACAUCGGAACCUGCGUUUUAGGGGGGGAAAACGUAGGGUAACAUACGCUAAGACCGCAGACGACAAACGGGUGAACGCAGGGGAUCUGCCGACCUGGGGGGACGGAAGGAGCCGAUGUCGGAUUAGGUAGUUGGCGGGGUAAAGGCCAACCAAGGCGACGAUCCGUAGCUGGUCUGAGAGGAUGAUCAGCCACACUGGAACUGAGACACGGCCCAGACUCCUACGGGAGGCAGCAGUGGGGAAUUUUGGACAAUGGGCGCAAGCCUGAUCCAGCCAUGCCGCGUGCGUGAUGAAGGCCUUCGGGUUGUAAACCCCUUUUGUUCGGAACGAAAAGCCGCUGGCUAAUACCGAGCUGUCAUGACGGUACCCAAAGAAUAAGCACCGGCUAACUACGUG
rnacentral:rRNA from 1 species